rnacentral:tRNA from 1 species
GCCCUUGUAGUAUAAACUAAUCACGCUAGCCUUGUAAACUAGAAAUGGAAUCCAUAACCCCUAGGGCA